GACGAACGCUGGCGGCGUGCUUAACACAUGCAAGUCGAACGGUAAGGCCCUUCGGGGUACACGAGUGGCGAACGGGUGAGUAACACGUGGGUGAUCUGCCCUGCACUUCGGGAUAAGCCUGGGAAACUGGGUCUAAUACCGGAUAGGACCACUGCCUGCAUGGGCGGUGGUGGAAAGCUUUUGCGGUGUGGGAUGGGCCCGCGGCCUAUCAGCUUGUUGGUGGGGGGAUGGCCUACCAAGGCGACGACGGGUAGCCGGCCUGAGAGGGUGACCGGCCACACUGGGACUGAGAUACGGCCCAGACUCCUACGGGAGGCAGCAGUGGGGAAUAUUGCACAAUGGGCGCAAGCCUGAUGCAGCGACGCCGCGUGAGGGAUGACGGCCUUCGGGUUGUAAACCUCUUUCAGCACCGACGAAGCGCAAGUGACGGUAGGUGCAGAAGAAGGACCGGCCAACUACGUGCCAGCAGCCGCCGUAA
rnacentral:rRNA from 1 species